rnacentral:rRNA from 1 species
GACGAACGCUGGCGGCGUGCUUAACACAUGCAAGUCGAACGGACAGGCCCUGCUUUUGUUCGUUUCUCGUUUGGCGAACGGGGGAGUAUCACGCGAGUAACCUGCCCUUGACUUUGGGGUAACUUCAGGAAACUCGGGCUAAUAUCGCAUAUGAUCUCUUGCUGCAUGUUGUUCGUUGGAAAGUUUCGGCGGUUGGGGAUGGUCUCGCUGCUUAUGGGCUUCUUUGUCUGGUAGUUGCAUACCAAGCCUUUGACGGGUAGCCGGCCUGAGAGGGUGACCGGCCACAUUGGGACUGAGAUACGGACCAGACUCGUACGGGAGGCAGCAGUGGGGAAUAUUGCACAAUGGGGGGACGCGUGAUGCAGCAACGCCGCGUGCGGGAUGACGGCCUUCGGGUGGUAAACAGCUUUGGCAUGUGACGAAGCGUGAGUGACGGUAAUGGGUAAAGAAGCAACGGCUAACUACGUG